rnacentral:rRNA from 1 species
UACAGAGGGUGCAAGCGUUGUUCGGAUUUACUGGGCGUAAAGGGCGCGUAGGCGGCAAUUCAAGUCAUCUGUGAAAUCUCCGGGCUUAACUCGGAACGGUCAGGUGAAACUGCUUUGCUAGAGUGCGGAAGGGGCAAUCGGAAUUCUCGGUGUAGCGGUGAAAUGCGUAGAUAUCGAGAGGAACACCUGAGGUGAAGACGGGUUGCUGGGCCGACACUGACGCUGAAGCGCGAAAGCCAGGGGAGCAAACGGG